GAUUAACGCUGGCGGCGUGCCUAACACAUGCAAGUCGAGCGGCAGCGAGUUUUACACUGAAUUCUGGAAGCUUCUAGUUGAAAGAGAAGAUUUAUUCAAGAAUUUUGUGUAAAAUGUCGGCGAGCGGCGGACGGCUGAGUAACGCGUGGGAACGUACCCCAAAGUGAGGGAUAACGCAUCGAAAGGUGUGCUAAUACCGCAUAUGGUCUUCGGAUUAAAGCCUUCGGGCGCUUUGGGAACGGCCUGCGUAAGAUUAGAUAGUUGGUGGGGUAAUGGCCUACCAAGUCGACGAUCUUUAACUGGUUUGAGAGGAUGAUCAGUCAGACUGGAACUGAGACACGGUCCAGACUCCUACGGGAGGCGGCAGUGAGGAAUCUUCCACAAUGGGCGAAAGCCUGAUGGAGCAACGCCGCGUGCAGGAUGAAGGCCUUCGGGUUGUAAACUGCUUUUAUAAGUGAGGAUUAUGACAGUAACUUAUGAAUAAGGAUCGGCUAACUACGUG
rnacentral:rRNA from 1 species